CAGAGACCUCCUUCACAAAUGCCAGUGGCCUGGAAGGACCGAUGCUGAGUGGGAUCUCUGAAUUCAAAGAAUUGAUCAGCCCAUCCCUGCUUAACCACAGCUACAUGUCCUUCUAGAAGUACACAGCCUUCCUCGUGUUAAGCACCAAUCUAGCCACUCCUGAGCUGGCUCACCUGGAUGUGCUCCCUUUUUGGUGGCAUCACUCCUCCCCCCUGGGGAUCCUUCUUUGUUCAGAGGACAACCACCAGCUCGCUUACCCUCCUGGCAAAGCUACUCCUGGCCUUUUUGGCUUCCUCCUCAGCAUCCCAGCUGACACCGUGGCAGAAAAGGAGGCAAGAGACCGCAGAUGUACAAAGGUCCCUUGGGAACAAGCAUUCCGGGGAGGAUAUCUUGCAAUGAAUGGAAUUGGCCACUGGAUGUCACUUGGGAGCUGGGCGUUGGCAGAGCAAAUUGCGAGGGGAAAGGCAGACAGGCUGAAACGCAGUCCCUGUGAUAAGGGUUCCCGUAUAGCAGUUAUUCACAGGUCUCAAAACAAGGCUGCUAGAGCAACGGUCCAGUUUCCCCUAGAAGCGGCCUGUCCACUGAGAAGUAGCCUUCCAUCUAGGAGGCUUUACGGGGACCCUUAUCACUGCUGAGUCUGUGCACUAUCACUGGUGAGGGUGUCAUUCUUUGAGUCUGGGGUGACCUCUUUGGGGCUGUGCAUCUGUGAGGUUUUCUGCCAGAGGAAAUGAAAGCCAGAGUUGAGUUCCCAGCAAACAUAACCUGCCUAUUUUAGAAGAUGGGACCUGGCCCCUUUCCACCUUUUUCUCCCGUUAUUUCUCUCGUGUCAGCCAUCGGAGGAAUUGUGCUCCCUCCAGCACUAAUUCCAAAGCCUCUUUUUCUCUCCCAGAAUUAAAGCUUUUUUUAAAGAGGGCACAGCACUCAAGGGCUCCUUCACUAAUUCUUCUCCUUAUUCCCCCGCCUGCCUUGGCUGCCACUCUCUAAAGAUCUGGCUGGAAGAUAGAUCCAUAUUUACAGGCAAUCUGUUUGCACCCAUCUGGUGAAGAUGUCGGCCUUCUUUCAUAUUACAACUUGCUUGGCUUCCCAUUUGCUACAGACACGAGACUCAGGUGCUUAAAUACCCCAAAUCCAUCUGACUUGCAAUAACCAGCCAAUCUCCUCUGAUCUCUGUUCCUCGCUCACGGUUCCAGAAAGGCGAGGAAGGCUUUGUCCCCCGGGGACCUGUUACUCACGCUGACUCCUGGGGCAAUCCCGCUGUUCCUCAGUCAUUCCCAAAGACAGGGCCAGUUUUGCAAUCUUGUACUUGCUGGGCAGGCAUACGUUGGCUCCAACCACCAGGGAAAAUUGUAGCAACAGCUUCUCUGACCUCGAUGCAUGAGAAGAACUGGGAGAAGGAUUUCUGGCUCUGAGAAGAUAGAUGCAGAGAGAAACUCUGUGUCUUUGGUCAAUUCUUGCUCACCAUCCAUUCACCAGACAAUAUUUUGUGCUGACUUGUAUUAAACUAAUCAUGCAUUGAUUAUGGCUAGGGAAGGCAGCUGAGUACAAUAGUGGGGAAACUGGAACUGUUACAGAAAUGUAGCUCCAGGCCAGCUUGGCUUCUGGACCGCUGCAGAGUUGCUGUAUUUUAGUGAGGCAAUAUUUGUAGCACUGGAGUCCCUUUCCAGACAAUGUAGUUUGCUCGUCUCUGGCUUAACCAAACUUUUUUUUUUUCUUUAAAGGUUCCUAGUAUCACCCAUCCAGAUUUGGCAAAGUGAAAAUCCCAUUGCCAUUAGUUGUGCUAAUCUUAUAUACAGCAAGAUUUAAUAUUUAAUUUAUUAUAUUAGAUAUAAUAAAAGGUACCCCUUGUGCCACUGCCAUUGCCAGCACCCUUUUGCAUCAGGCACAUAGAAAGUGAGAGUAACAAUCAAGAGAUUUAUUUAAGAAAAUUACAGAAACCAAGGAAAACGUCUAUACAAAGAUGAGCAUGAAAAAAGACAAGGAAGGCAAAGAUCUGCUGAAGAAAGAAGAUACAAAGAAAACAUGGCACAAAUAUACAGACAGACUGUACAAAAAGACCCCAAAAUCAAUGAGGCGUACAAAGGUUUGAUCACUGAGCUACAGGCAGACAUUCUGGAAAGUGAAGUUAAAUGCCCCCUAGAAAAUAUUGCUAACCACAAAGCUGCAGGGGUUGAGGAAAUCCCAGGAGAACUGGGUAAAAUCUUGAGUCAAGGCAGGUACGGAAUACAGAACAGGGGCCAGGGGACUGCAGAAAAUCAGUUUGUAUGGCAAGAUCAAAAAGAGCAGUACUAAAGAAUGCGCAUCUCGCUGAACAACUAACAUUAUCCCCCAUGCUAUUAAUAUAAUGCUCUAGAUUUUGCAGCCUGCAUUUCAGCCAUAAAUGGAACAAUAACUGUCAGCUGUAGAGGCUGGAUUCAGAAGCAGGGGCACCCCAAGUCACCUUGCUAACAUUCAGCUGAUAAUAGAAAGGGCAAAGGUGUCCCCAAAAAUAGCUUUUUCUGCUUUAUUGAUUAUACUAAGGCUUUGUAGACCAUAACAAAUUGUGGAUAACUCUUAAAAACAUGGAUAUAUUGGGAUACUUCAUCUGCCAGUUGAAGAAUUUGUAUGAUGAGGAAGCAAGAGGUAGGGCAGAAUAUGGAGAAUAUUCCUUUUCCUUUUCCUUUUAUUCUUUGUA